GCUAAGUAAGAGGAAAGAAUUAUUAUUUUUUCCCUUACCCAAAGAGAAGUGUAACCUCAGAAUGCCCUGCAAGUUACACAGCCCUGGGGCUAAGGGCUGGGUCUUUGGUUUCCAGGUCCCCAGGGGUGAUUAACUGGAGUAAUUAAAAAUAAAUAUUUUGGCUACAUACAAUCUAUAUGGCCAUUUUGUCUGGGUUAUUUUUAUCUUUUCAUCCUUUGUUUCAGGUUUUGCUUUUCACCUUUGCUUAAAUAAAGAGCAGUCAAGCUGAAUGUGAAUGAAGUUUUAAGUGGAGUUCUGAUUUAUUGAACAUAUCUGGGAUACUCAGACCCUGGUUUUGUGCCAGGCACUCUGAGGUGUAAGGAUGAACUGUUGGAGAAUAUUGGCCAACGCUUUUGUAAUGAAGAAAAAGUAUUUGCAGUUUUUCAGUUUUGUGAACUGUCACUGGGAUGGAAGGAGAAAGGAGGAACCAAGGAUGAGCACUUCCAAACUGAACGUGCCAUUAUUCUGUGUUGGAGGAGUGCCCGAAUGAAGCUGAUGAGCCGAAGCAGCGAUGCAGACAUGCAUAGCCGUAGGCAGUUACUAAUGUUCAGCUGGUAUUUUGCAUCAGUGAAUAAAAAUGGACUGUGCCGAGUGAUAUAAUACUCAGUAACUUCCUUUUGAAAUUUGGUGUAUGCCACAGAAUGCAUAACAUCUCUCUAGUGUUUGUCUUGGGGUGACUUUUUGUUCAGCUGGUUGAACUGACCAUACUGUACAGCUCGCUUCUGUGAAAGCUCGCCUUAAGUUGCCGGGAUGGAGGAGAGAAAACGAGAGCUGACAGUGCCCCUCAUGAGGGGAGAGAUGGGGACAUACAGCAACAUUUCAGAUCUCUGCUUAUGGCUGUCGAUCGUGACAUAUAUUUGUAAUAUAAUUUAAAUAGAUGACAAGCAAAUGGCGUAUUGAA